GUCUGCAAUGUUGAAUACUGUUUGAAAUGAAACAGUCAUCUCUAUCUGCUUGGAACUAACACUCUGCAUGUUGGAUGUUGGAAGUGCUGAUGGCAAAACUUCGACUUCAAUUAGAAACCCCAGCUUGGUAUGUGAAAAUGAGACACACAGACAGGGAGAGAAGCUUGGGAUGCUUCAAUGCUGCUAAGCACCACAGCCUGCUUUCUCCAAAUGGUGUGUCAUCCAGGUGGGGCUGCACAUUGGUGGUGGAGAGGAUCCCCAUUACCUGUAAA